GAGAAAUUCAUUUCUCUCUUUUCUUUCUCGUUCUUCUUCUUAUUAUUUCUUCUUCUCUGUUCUGCUUCUCUAUCUCUCUGUCGAUCUCGGUCUUAGAUAUUUGAGUGUUUAGCCGUAUGAGAGUUCUUGUAAACCUUGUUAUCUUGAUGAACUGAGUGAGCAGAGUAUGUUGAUGCUGUCGAUUGGGAUUUGGGAGAAACAGAAGUUAGGGCUUCAUCUGAUUUUGAGGUUGUGUAGAACUUACGAUGUUUUAGUGUUGCUGAGUGACGAAGAACAGAAGGGUUGUGAAUGAAUUGAAGAUAUGAAGCCGUUUUAAGGAUGAAUCAAAGCCAGGGUUUUCCCCUGUUCUCCCCCAAUUAGGAAUUAGGGUCUUUUGAUUCUUGAGAUUUUGGAUAAAGAGAAAUUAGAGGAUGGGUUUGCUUGAUAUAGAGAUUCGGAUUGAUGAUGUGUUUUCGAAUUAAAGAAAGGAAGUUUGAGAAUUAUCUUAGGGUUUGAGUUAUGGGGAUGAUGAUGAAAUAAGGAUUGAAAAGGGUUUACUAUAUAGAUGUGCAGUUUUAAUUGGUGGCAGUGAUGGUGUUGAACUGGUAUGUGUUUGGCUUGUGCAACUAUAAUCUGGUAAUGAAGUCAGUUAGUGAAGAAGAUGAUUAUGAUGGUGAUUGAAAGAGUUUGUGCUGCUGUUUAAGUGAUCGGGUUGGAUGAUACAUGAUUUGUAGCUGUGUUGAAUUGAUUUUCAGAUGAAGGUGGCAUUGUUACUACUGUGGGGGAUUGUGGUUGAGCUACAGGUGUUACACAAUAAAGGACUAGUAUGGGUUACAAUCGAAGAAAUGAAGAUUUGGUGGAACUGGUGUUGCAGGUUGUUGUAAUAAUGUUGAGUUGGACUGGUGGUGUUGAACUCAGAUGAAUUGAGACAGCCAUUAUGUAGUUGAAGCUGGUGGAAUCUAAAUGUACAAGAGUCUUAAAUGAAUGGUGAUUGUGGCUGUCGAGUUGCAGUUGAUGAAGUUAUGGUGGUGGUGUCUUCUCAUUGAUGUAGAAUUGAAGUUAUGGGAAUUUGGAAUGUGCUGAAAUGUAUAUGGGGUGUUGGUGUUUGAAGUUGCAGCUCUGAAGAAUACUAGUGUCUUUAUGAGUUGCAGUUGAAGAUUAUGUAUGAACUUUUGGGGUUCGUUAUACAGAAGAAUGGAACUGUUUUUUUUUGGAACUGAAGAGGUUGAGGAUUUGCUGGUGGAUGAAUGCUGUCUGAGUUAUGAACGAAAUGUUACAAGCUGAGAUGUGCUGCGACGAAGAUAUAACAAGGGCUAAACGGAUAUGAUAGUGAAUGGUGGAGUUUGAAUUAGAUGAAUGCUUAGGUUUUGCAAAGGGGACGAGGGCAGAUAAAUGAUGGGAUUCGUAUUGCAGGUGUUGUGAUCUUGUGAACUGAACUGUUGAUGAAUUGUGAUAGCUGCAGAUGAGGUUGUCAGUUAUGGUGAAGGUGAUGGCUUGGGAAGCUAGUUUGAUUAGUGUUAAAGGAGAUAAAGAAAUCUCAGGUUAGGCAGUGGUUACGUAUUUGGUUGUGGUAAAGAUAGAAGACGAACUUGAAUGAAAUGAGUUGAGGCUGAAUUGCAGAUAUGAAGCUGGUAACUCUGAAGUUAAAGAGUGAUUGCGAGACUAAUAAUGUUUAGUAUGUAGAUUGUAUUUGAAUCUGUUGCGAAGAGCUGGAACUAAUGAUGUUACUGUUGAAAGAUUGUUAGAAUUGGAGAUAGAAGUUAGUUGUAGCUUAUAGAUCUGUGUCUAGAUAGUAUGUUGUGUGUAAAACUGAUUUGUUUUAGCUUUUACUUUUUUUGUUAGUAUGAUGUCUGA